rnacentral:lncRNA from 1 species
AAGUUUAUACGAGACCUAGUUUCCAGGGAAGAACUCACUGAUUCCGCGAGGGAGAUGGGGUAAUGGAUGAUGGUCUUCAGCCUUAAGGGUACUUAGUCUUAACUGUGUGUUACAAAGUUUGAAAGGGAGGGUUCCCUAUGAAUAAGAAGCGCACUUGAAAGAACAGCCCUCUGGUCUAACCUCUCACUGGUGCUUCAGAGGAGGAUAAAAGGUCACAGCUAUGUUUCCAGUGUCCUCUGGGUGUUUCCAAGAGCAACAAGAAAUGAAUAAAUCUCUGACAGAGGUUCGCUCUUGUUGCCCAGUCUGGAAUGCAGUGACAGGAUCUCAGCUAACUGCAACCUCCGCCUCCCAGGUUCAAGCAAUUCUCCUGCCUCAGUCUCCUGAGUAGCUG